rnacentral:rRNA from 1 species
CGUGUAGGCGGUCAAGUAAGUGGAAUGUGAAACGCCUCGGCUUACCCGAGGACCUGCAUCCCAAACUGCUUGGCUUGAGUAUGGGAGAGGAUGAGGGAAUUCCUGGUGUAGCGGUGAAAUGCGUAGAUAUCAGGAGGAACACCGUUGGCGAAGGCGAGCUUCUGGGCUGUCCCUGACGCUGAGGCGCGAAAGCUGGGGAGCAAACA